rnacentral:rRNA from 1 species
UAUGUGAUCGUCUCUCGCAUAUCAAUAAGCGGAGGAAAAGAAACUAACAAGGAUUCCCCUAGUAACGGCGAGUGAAGCGGGAAGAGCUCAAAUUUGAAAUCUUAAAGGGUUUCCCUUUACGAAUUGUAGUUUAAAGAAGUGUUUUCUGUUGAGGUUUUGGUAAAAGUUCUUUGGAAUAGGACAUCAUAGAGGGUGAGAAUCCCGUAUUUGACCUUUACUUUCAACUUUGUGAUACACUUUCAAAGAGUCGGAUUGUUUGGGAAUGCAGUCCAAAAUGGGUGGUAAAUUUCAUCUAAAGCUAAAUAUUGGCGAGAGACCGAUAGCGAACAAGUACCGUGAGGGAAAGAUGAAAAGAACUUUGAAAAGAGAGUUAAACAGUACGUGAAAUUGUCAAAAGGGAAGCGUUUGACACCAGUGUUGUUUUUCUGAAAAUCAAUUAAAGGAACUGUUUAUGCUAAGUUGUUUAGACUUUAUCAGCUAACUGUUUAGUUUUGAGCUUUUCUUUAAUGCACUUUUCAGUUAACAAGUCAACAUCAAUUUCUUUUGCUGUAAAAAAGCUUGAGGAAGGUGGCUUGAGAUUCGUCUUAAGUGUUUAUAGCCUCUUGCCUAUGCAGUCGGAGAGAUUGAGGUCUGCAGCGUAGAUCCUUCGGGGCUAAAUGCAUUUGUGCUAAGUUAUAGCAUUUUAUAGACAACUUGUUGACUAUGAUUUGUCUUGUAGCUUACUCGCUUAUGUUAUUUUACCUACGCUUAGGAUGUUGAUCUACAGAGCGAGAGU